rnacentral:rRNA from 1 species
UACGAAGGGGACUAGCGUUGUUCGGAAUUACUGGGCGUAAAGCGCACGUAGGCGGACUCUUAAGUCAGGGGUGAAAUCCUGGAGCUCAACUCCAGAACUGCCUUUGAUACUGGGAGCCUUGAGUUCGGGAGAGGUGAGUGGAACUGCGAGUGUAGAGGUGAAAUUCGUAGAUAUUCGGAAGAACACCAGUGGCGAAGGCGGCUCACUGGACUGGUAUUGACGCUGAGGUGCGAAAGCGUGGGGAGCAAACAGG